AGCGAACGCUGGCGGCAGGCUUAACACAUGCAAGUCGAGCGGGCAUCCUUGUGGUGUCAGCGGCAGACGGGUGAGUAACGCGUGGGAACGUGCCCUUCGGUUCGGAAUAACUCAGGGAAACUUGAGCUAAUACCGGAUACGUGCGAGAGCAGAAAGGUUUAUCUGCCGAAGGAUCGGCCCGCGUCUGAUUAGCUAGUUGGUGAGGUUAUGGCUCACCAAGGCGACGAUCAGUAGCUGGUCUGAGAGGAUGAUCAGCCACACUGGGACUGAGACCCGGCCCAGACUCCUACGGGAGGCAGCAGUGGGGAAUAUUGGACAGUGGGGGCAACGCUGAUCCAGCCAUGCCGCGUGAGUGAUGACGGCCUUAGGGUUGUAAAGCUCUUUUCUCCGGGACGAUAAUGACGGUACCGGAGGAAUAAGCCCCGGCUAACUUCGUG
rnacentral:rRNA from 1 species